rnacentral:tRNA from 1 species
GCCUGGGUGGCUCAGUCGGCUCCAGCAUCCGACUUCUGCUCAGGUCGUGAUCUCGCGGUUCGUGGGUUCGAGCCCCACAUCGGGCU